UACGGCCAUAGAAUCGAGAAAGUGCCGCGUCCCGUCAGAUCCGCGAAGCGAAGCUCGUUAUCGCUCGGUCAGUACCAAGGUCGGGGACGACUUGGGAAUCCCGAGUGCUGUAGUU